GGAGAAUGAGAUCAGAGAUUAUGUUCGCUCAGAAAUGAAUCAGCACUGUGCGUGUGGAGGUUCAGGCCUGGACACUCGGUCCCGGCCCGCAGUCAGGGCUCGGCCUCCACCAGAGCAACAACUGG